UGUUGACCUCGGAUCAGGUAGGAAUACCCGCUGAACUUAAGCAUAUCAAUAAGCGGAGGAAAAGAAACCAACAGGGAUUGCCCUAGUAACGGCGAGUGAAGCGGCAACAGCUCAAAUUUGAAAUCUGGCUCUCGGGCCCGAGUUGUA
rnacentral:rRNA from 1 species